AAGUAUGGGAGUAUCUGCCACUUAGGGCCCGUUCUUUAUCCCGUUUGAGAAUCACUUUUUCACCCAAAAGUGCUUUUCUCUUAAAAGGAGCAAAGAACAACCUCCUUUUUCUCUUAAAAUUUCUCCAUCAAAAAAGUGCUUCUCUCUAGAUGGAGAAGCUAAAAAUUUCACCAUCUAAAACGCUGGAAGGCUAAUAAAAGACCAAAUUAACCUAUUUCUCCCCCUUGAAAAAACGUUCUUUCCUCUGCUGUGAAAGCUCUAUACCCAUUUUUUUUUUUCACAUUUUUGCUGUGAAAGCUCUUUUCUGUUCUUUGUUCCUCUUCCGCAGGUAGAAUAUGAUAUUCUCAGGUGCUAGCAUUUGAUGUUGGUGAAUUAUGUGACCUUUGGUGGAGAGUGUGAGGCUCUGCGCUGAGCAAAUAGAUGCAGGCAGUUGGCUUUUAGUAGUAAUGAAGAACAUACAGGUUGUGGAAGGCUCUCCAGUUUUAUGCAGGCUUCAGCAUUUUCAUGCUUUAUGUGUAUCAACUCCCUAUAGAGUUCUCAAGUAUGUUACAGUGGAUAGCUGAUUUUGUUGGUCUAUUCAAAAUAUGUUCAACAUCUGAGUGGACUGAAAUUUGCUCUUCUGUUUCUCUUGUACUUUUUUACAUCAUGGUAUGUACUAGUUUUAUUACUAUAGGUCUGAUUUUGUUUAAAGAUUUUAGCUGAACCUUUAAAUGAAAUGCAAUACACGCUAAAUUGUUCAAUUGAAA